CCGAGGCCCGAAGAGGGCACAACAAGCAGAGGAAACGGCAGCGGGAGGAUGCGGCGAUUCCUACAGCUGCGGCUGCUGCUGUCAUUGCUGUUGGGACCCAGCUCUGGGCUUGGGGUUCUGAUCUCUCAGUGGCCAAGCAGAGGUAUCUGGAAGACCGGAACAACGGGGAAAAUCCAGUGUUACCAGAACGACAGUGACCACAUUUACCUGUACUGGUAUCAGCAGCUGGCGGGGCAGGGUCUGGUUCUCAUGGCCUUGGCCAAUGAGGGCUCUGCAGCCUCCUAUGAGAAGGAGUUCAACAACACCAAGUUCCCCAUCCAACGCCUAAAACGGAAGUCUUCAUCCCUAGAGGUGAAGGAUCUGGGGACCGGGGUGACAGCGGCCUCUACUUCUGUGCCACUAGUGACACACAGUGCUGGAUGGGGACCAGAAAGCUGAGCAAUAACCUCACUGACCCCACCCCAGGUAGCAGAAGCCUGGGGGGGUGGGGGGACAAACUACAACCCUGACACCUGGGAGUGUGGUUUGUGUGUAUGUGUGAGAUUAUGUGUAUCUGUGUGCCAGGGUGUAGAUGUUGGGUGUGUGUGUGAGAUUGCCCGUGUGGUGUGUGGCAGUGGGUGUGUGUUUGUGUGGCAGAGGAGUUGGUUGUUGAGUUUUGUAUGUGUAUUUAUGUAUGUGUGCAUGUGCUGGGUGGUGGGAUGGGGCUUGAGAGUAUCAGCGGAGAAGCAACGUGGC